UACUUUUUUUUUUUUUUUUUUUUUUUUUUUUUUUUUUUUUUGCGAUUUUCUC
rnacentral:ribozyme from 1 species